ACGUAGGAGGCAAACGUUAUCCGGAUUUACUGGGCGUAAAGCGCGUGUAGGUGGUUCUGUAAGUAGGGCGUGAAAGCUCCUGGCUCAACUGGGAGAGGCCGUUCUAAACUGCAGAGCUAGAGGAUGGUAGAGGGAGGUGGAAUUCCGGGUGUAGCGGUGGAAUGCGCAGAUAUCCGGAGGAACACCAGUGGCGAAAGUAGCCUCCUGGACCAGUCCUGACACUCGGACGGCAAACCUAGGGUAGCAAACUG
rnacentral:rRNA from 1 species